rnacentral:lncRNA from 1 species
GGUUCGACCGACAAGAUUGGUAUUGUGCAGUAUCGACUUUGGAAGGAGCGUUGUAUCUUGGGAGAUAGACGUCCAUAAUCCCGUUUGCACUUCAUUGGGGGGCGAAAUCUGUUUUAAGGAAAUUUGCUUUGGCAUACCUCGCUUCAUCUACUUUUCUAUUUUUUUUCUGCUUAUUUUAUUUGUUCUUUUGAUUGCGUUAGU